rnacentral:misc_RNA from 1 species
GUUUUUGUAGGCAAGCAGCUACAACCUAUGCAGCAGACUGAGGGAAAUAGUGCAGGUGUACAAAAUUACUGAAGGAACCUUUUUUCUAGAGGAAAGUCAAGCCUUUUUCCUCUUCAUUUUGUAAGGUAGGAUAUAUCCGCUGACUGGCCGUGAUAAACGGUGGGAGUGGGACUAGUCCAUCAUAAGCUUCUCCACUAGAUUCGAGAUUUGACUCCGUUAUGGAAGACGGUGUGCUAGUUCUUCCUUUGAUUUAGAUUCUGAUACAUGAAGGCUUCCUUCUCUCUGACUCAGAAAACUAACUGCCAAUUGUACAUUAUCUUACAUACAGAAACAUCCUUGAGGAUGCAGACCUUAGUG